AACGAACGCUGGCGGCAUGCCUAACACAUGCAAGUCGAACGACAUCUUCGGGUCUAGUGGCGCACGGGUGCGUAACGCGUGGGAAUCUGCCCUUUGGUUCGGAAUAACAGUUGGAAACGACUGCUAAUACCGGAUGAUGACGAAAGUCCAAAGAUUUAUCGCCAGAGGAUGAGCCCGCGUAGGAUUAGCUAGUUGGUGUGGUAAAGGCGCACCAAGGCGACGAUCCUUAGCUGGUCUGAGAGGAUGAUCAGCCACACUGGGACUGAGACACGGCCCAGACUCCUACGGGAGGCAGCAGUGGGGAAUAUUCGGCAAUGGACGAAAGUCUGACCGAGCGACGCCGCGUGGAGGAUGACAGCUCUAGGGUUGUAAACUCCUUUUGAUCCCGCAUUCACGCGGGAUAGAAUAAGCCCUUACUAACUACGUGCCAGCAGCCGCCGUAA
rnacentral:rRNA from 1 species